UAUUAUUUUAAAUUUAAAAAUUGAGACUUGAGUAGUAUUUGUUAUGAUCAUGAAACUUAAAGAAUUUGGCGGUAUUUUAGUCUUUUUAGAGGAAUCUGUUCCGUUAUCGAUAUUCCACGUUAAAUCUUACUUAAUUAAUUAUAAUUAAAGUUUGUAUACCGCCGUUCUUGAAUAUUCUUUUAGGAUUAUAUAUUCUUAAAAUUUAAUUUAAUUUUAUUUCAGGUCAAGGUGCAGCUUAUAAUUAAGUGGAAAUGGGUUACAAUAUAUUUAAUAUAAAUGAAUUAUAAAUUUGGAUUUUAUAUGAAGGUGAAUUUAAUAGUAAUUUUAAUUAGAAUAUUAUUAUGAUUGUGGCUCUAAAAUGUGUACACAUCGCCCGUCACUCUCAUUAAUAAGAUGAG
rnacentral:rRNA from 1 species